AAACCUGAAUUUGUGUAUGUUUUGUCAGAAUCAUCAGAAAUAUUAAAACUAAUUAUUGAUGUGUGCUGGUGAUGGUAAUGUGUUGGACAUGAAAUUUUUACAGGUGUGCGACUGUGUCAGUGGUUUUGGAUUCUCAGUACAUGCUGGCAAAACUUUCAAGUCAGGGGUUCAGGUUUGAAUGUUUUGAGUUAGAAUUGUCCCUAUUAUUGUAGGAAGUUUGACGCAUCUCUUAUGACUACUUGCACUCGUUUCGAUAAAAAAAAAUUUAGCUGUGUCUAUGGCACAUUGCCAGCCUGCAAUGCUGGCAGGAGCAUCCACGUCAUGAUACUAUUGUAAUGAUGUUAAACCUUUUACUGCAUACUAUAGUAGGUCCAUAUAGACCAUACCAAUAAUAAUAUGUGGCUGCUUACAUGGGAAGAAAACUUGUUUUGUGAUGCUCUUCAAGCAUUGCGGAUACAUAACUUCUGUUCUUAGCUGUUAAUGUUUUGUGUUUGGUACCCUGGAUAUUGACGUCUCGCAAGUUUGCAUUUACUGAUGUUUCCAGAUAUACCACUAUUCCGUCCAAGACUGUUGGUAAUAUUGAACAGAGGUUUGCAUAGGCUAUAGACUGUACAUGUCAAAGUUUUUGAUGCAUAAGUAAAUUUGGAUUCAGAAACUGAUAAUCCCGUGUCAAACCACCAUGCCACGAUUCAUAUAAAUAUUUAGAAAGUCCAUACUAGAGCAAGGCUGGAAGGGGGUGGGUGGCAUUUUGGCUCAAAUUUCUUGCUGAUACGGAUAGGGUAAAUUCUACAGGGAGAUAGGAGGAUAUGGGUAUUAGAAAACUGUGUCAAAGAUAAAAACAUCCGCGAUCAAAUUGGAAACAUCACAUUUAUUUUGUUGAACUCAAAAAUAAGAAUUUUGGGUUAACUGAUACAAUCAACUGGUGCAUGUAAAUAAAAUAUGAUUUUUCUUACUCAGGAAAGAGGAACAUACCGUUUAGCAGCAGGUUGGCUCUCAUUGUUGACUUAAAUGGAUGAUUCCAAACGUGGCUUUCAGUCUAAUUGACAGGAUCUGAAGAACCAAAUAUCCAAUGACCUUCAUUAUAUGCCUCUUCUUUCUCUAUCGGUGUAGGCUUGUGAUGAGGAAAAUGGAUUAGGCAGGAAGAACUAAUAAUAAAAAUAUAAAUAAAUAAAAGAAAAACGAGCCAUAGUUGAUAAAUAAAACACGUAUGGGCCGAGUGUGGCUCAGUCCAUUAUGUAAGAGAACCCCACAUUAUCGUCGCUGGGCCGGCUCAUGAAACUAGACAUUCCACUCUUUUCACCGUCCAUUUUCUAAUAUAGUUUAAAAUUUACAUAAAAAGUUCUACUUCUCUGAAGAUUAAAAGAGAAGCAACAUGCAAACUUCAUUGGUCUAGGAUAUCUCACUUAAUUCUCAUCCUUGAGAAGUCCUUGCAUGUAUUGGCCAGAUCUGGGAGAAUAGAGACUAGCAAACAUGACAUAAGUGAGGUGAUCUUUUACAAUUUCAUGCAUUGAGAUCACUUUUACUCCACUUUUGAUGAAAACAAUACAUUGCUUCGCCUUGUAUAUUUUUCUCUCUAUACAAAUUAUUUUUAGCUUCUAAUAUUUUCAGCAAGUAAAUGUUACAAAUGCUUAACCAGCAUUAUUUCCAUCUUCCUAAAUUACACAUUAUUUCUGAUAUUUUCAGCAAGUAACAACUGUUCUUUCUAAUAUUUUUUGCACCUUUAAAUGCAGUUGUUGUGGCUAUUCAUUUCAGGUCAGUAUAUGCAAUCUAUGCUUUUCUUGCCAUUGUGUUGUGUUUUAUUUGGCUUCUCUAACUGACCUGGGUUUUUGAGCCCAAAUAUAUUUUGGUUAUUUUAUAUAUAAGUGCAUGUAUAUACUUAUUUGGUUUGACAUUCCAUUGUAGCCAAUACAGAGAAGUUUAACCUUUGCCGCAUCUAUUACUUACCUGCUAUAUUGGAUGGAAGACCUACUAAAAUAGUAGCAGUAUGUUCUUUUGCAAGUCACAAAAUGUGGCAAAACUAUUCAAGAUUGGUCUGGCCAGCCCAUUCCAUCCCUCGCCUAGGAUGUGAAGUAACCACCGGAACCAUCUGACAUGUCUUCAUCGGAUAAGAGAAUCAGGCAGCCGUCAGAGAAAGGUUUGUUGGAUCUGCAGCCCAAGAAAAACUAAGUUCAUCCAAUUAUGUGUAGGAUUAUUUUGUUUUUGUAUUACGAUAUGGCCAUCGGUGUUACUCUUGUGUCGUUCGCAUGCUCUGGACUAUGAAGGUUGUGGUGUUCACUGUUGUACUUUUACUGUAAAUUUGAGCUAGCUCUAUUUCUUCCUCCA